UGGGGAAUUUUGGACAAUGGGCGCAAGCCUGAUCCAGCCACGCCGCGUGCGGGAAGAAGGCCUUCGGGUUGUAAACCGCUUUUGUCAGGGAAGAAAUCUUCUGAGUUAAUACCUCGGGAGGAUGACGGUACCUGAAGAAUAAGCACCGGCUAACUACGUGCCAGCAGCCGCGGUAAUACGUAGGGUGCAAGCGUUAAUCGGAAUUACUGGGCGUAAAGCGUGCGCAGGCGGUUUUGUAAGACAGAGGUGAAAUCCCCGGGCUCAACCUGGGAACUGCCUUUGUGACUGCAAGGCUUGAGUGCGGCAGAGGGGGGAUGGAAUUCCGCGUGUAGCAGUGAAAUGCGUAGAUAUGCGGAGGAACACCGAUGGCGAAGGCAAUCCCCUGGGCCUGCACUGACGCUCAUGCACGAAAGCGUGGGGAGCAAACAGGAUUAGAUACCCUGGUAGUCCACGCCCUAAACGAUGUCAACUGGUUGUUGGGAAGGUUCCUUCUCAGUAACGUAGCUAACGCGUGAAGUUGACCGCCUGGGGAGUACGGCCGCAAGGUUG
rnacentral:rRNA from 1 species